GUCGUUGCAGUUACCCCAUCGAGCUGGUGGAGGACGCCGCGAACUCCGGUGGCCAUGGCGACAUGCAAGACAUGGGUUGUCCUCACUUGCUGCCGCGUGGGGGUGGCCGACUAAGCAUGCUGUCGUCGUCGAAAACCAACCGCGAAGCUCGGCGAGGACUAGGAGAAGCAGGCGUUGGCGGCCAUGGGAGUGGGUGGCGGUUGUUUUCUUCGGUGGUGGAUCCAGCAACUUAGGAGCUGGGAGCAGCCGGGGCAGGGUGGUCGCUGGGGUGGGCGGCGCUGGGUGGUGNNNN
rnacentral:lncRNA from 1 species